GGCGGGCGGGGCGGAGGAUGGACGCCGGAGCAUCCGCUGCAACGGUUGUGGCUGCGCGUGGGAAGGUGGCUGUGUAGUCACCUGGAUGAAGGCGGGUCGGAGGCGGACGAGCUAUGGCGGGGGACCCUUUCUGGGUUCUCUGAAGUGUGCUCCCUGAAGUUCCGGGGAGCCAGGUCCAAUGGGGUCGCUGAGCAGCAAAGUGCUGCGCCACCCCGGGCGAGCCCGUCCUCCGCAGGAGCGGGGUCCCGGGGUUCGGGGCUCAGCCCGGAGGCCUGAGGCUGGCGGCGACGCGGCCGGCCCCGGCUUCUGUUUCUGCCCCGGCAGCCGCAAACGCAAGCGGAGCAGCGGGACCUUAUGCCUCUGUCACCCCGAGUCGGAAACAGACGAAGAUGAGGAAGAAGGCGACGAGCGGCAGCGCCUCCUCAACACCCCUCGAAGGAAAAAGUUAAAGAGUACAUCCAAAUAUAUUUAUCAAACAUUGUUUUUGAAUGGUGAAAAUAGUGAUAUAAAGAUUUGUGCUCUAGGAGAAGAGUGGAGCUUACAUAAAAUAUAUUUAUGUCAAUCAGGCUACUUCUCUAGUAUGUUCAGUGGUUCUUGGAAAGAAUCCAGCAUGAAUGUUAUUGAACUGGAGAUUCCUGACCAGAAUAUUGAUGUAGAAGCACUGCAAGUUGCUUUUGGGUCGCUGUAUCGAGAUGAUGUCCUAAUAAAGCCCAGUCGAGUCACUGCCAUUUUGGCAGCAGCCUGUAUGCUGCAGUUGGAUGGUUUAAUACAACAGUGUGGUGAGACAAUGAAGGAAACAAUUAAUGUGAAAACUGUGUGUGACUAUUACACAUCCGCAGGGACCUAUGGAUUAGAUUCUGUAAAGAAAAAGUGCCUUGAAUGGCUUCUAAACAAUUUGAUGACUCAUCAGAAUGUUGAACUUUUUAAAGAGCUCAGUAUAAGCGUCAUGAAACAACUCAUUGGUUCAUCAAACUUAUUUGUGAUGCAAGUGGAGAUGGAUGUAUACACAGCUCUAAAAAAGUGGAUGUUCCUUCAACUUGUGCCUUCUUGGAAUGGAUCUUUAAAACAGCUUUUGACAGAAACAGAUAACUGGUUUUCUAAGCGGAAAAAGGAUUGUAAAAGUAUGGCAUUCCUUGAAACUGAGCAAGGAAUACCAUUCAUGUCAGUGUUUAGACAGCUGAGGUUACAGUAUAUUAUUAGUGAUCUGGCUUCUGCAAGGAUUAUUGAACAAGAUUCGUUAGUACCUUCAGAAUGGCUGUCUUCUGUAUAUAAACAGCAGUGGCUUGCUAUGCUGCGGGCAGAACAGGACAGUGAAGUGGGGCCUCGAGAAAUCAAUAAAGAAGAACUAGAGGAAAAUAGCAUGAGGUGUGGUAGAAAACUUACCAAAGAUGGUGAAUACUGCUGGCGUUGGACAGGUUUUAACUUCGGCUUUGACCUACUUGUGACUUACACCAAUCGGUUCAUCAUUUUCAAACGCAAUACACUGAAUCAGCCAUGUAGCGGAUCUGUCAGUUUACAACCUCGAAGGAGCUUAGCAUUUCGUGCAGGUUUGUAAAUCUCAAUGGAAUCAAUUUACAAUUUAAAAAGACAGUUUGAAAAGAAAAUAUGGAUGAGAAAAUAUUAAAAUGAGGAACAAGUGGUGAUGAAUUUGGACAGCAGGCUUCUAAUCUUCCCUUUGUAUAUCUGCUGUAACUUCUUAUACAUAUCGCCAGAAAACAGAACUGAAAAUAAUCAUCACCCAGAAAACUCAGAAAACUGAGGAUCUCAUCCAUCGGAAAUAGCAGCACUUUGAAAACUUUUUAGGCCCAUCUUUAACGGCCCUAUCAAUAUUCAUGUCUAAGGUGACUAACAAUGACAAAGGCCUUAUGAACUGUACAGACAAUACAAAAGAUGUUUCUUACCCUCAUUACAUUUCUAUGCAUAUAUGCAAAAGCAUUUUAAAGCCAAGAAAAUAUCUGUCAAACCAUGCAAGUUGUCAUUAAUGAUUUUAAUUUAGCAUUAGAAAACUUCUGUAGGUAAAUUUCACAUUCUUUGCAACAAAAUAGCUUAAAUUCCUGCCUAAUGUUAGUGAGUUUCAUUUAUUUAUCUUUAAUUUCUUUUUAUUUUGCUGAAAGAAAGCUAAAGAAAUAAUUUGAAGAGCCAAUUAUAAAUGUUCUUUCAGUUGGUGCCUUUAAGCUGUCUUUUAGUCAUCUACUGCUCAUUUUUGUUCUUUAAUUUAGUACAGUAUUUUGCCAGUCUGCUUGUUUUAAUCAUUAAACAGUUUUGUCAUGGUUUUGGGAGACUAAACUGAGGGAUUUUUAUUUUUUAACUUGAGCAUUUUCAUGUGUAUUUUCAAAUUUAGCUUUGUUAGACUUUUAAAAACAACAGCAAAAAUCUGCUUUAGUCCUUCAAAUGAACUUGAACAAGGGAAAAACCUGUUUGAUUUGAGGACAUUCCUUUGCCUUACAUGGUCUUGUCUUUGACAUUCUACAUACCUUUAUUGUUAGGUUAUGAAUUAUUUAUGUAUUAAAUAGUACACUUUUAAAUAUUUUCAUGUUAGCUGACCUUUAGAAUUAUUUAUGUUCAAAUUUUAAUUGGGAAUCCCAUUUCCUACUUAAGCUCAGGACUUUAUAACCUCUGAAUGGAGUGCCUUUGAGUUAUACAUGCUAAUAGAAAUUUCAUAGUAAAUGUACAUAAGGUUGGAGGAUCUAAUAUUGAAGCUGAUAAUAAAGCAUUAAUGUAAAAACAAA